rnacentral:rRNA from 1 species
UACGUAGGGGGCUAGCGUUGUCCGGAAUCAUUGGGCGUAAAGAGCGUGUAGGCGGCCGGUAAGUCCGCUGUAAAAGUCAAAGGCUCAACCUUUGAAUGUCAGUGGAUACUGCCGGGCUAGAGUCCGGAAGAGGCGAGUGGAACUCCUGGUGUAGCGGUGGAAUGCGCAGAUAUCAGGAAGAACACCAACGGCGAAGGCAGCUCGCUGGGACGGUACUGACGCUGAGACGCGAAAGCGUGGGGAGCGAACAGG